rnacentral:rRNA from 1 species
UACAGAGGUCCCAAGCGUUGUUCGGAUUCAUUGGGCGUAAAGGGUGCGUAGGCGGCGCGGUAAGUCGGGUGUGAAAUCUCGGAGCUUAACUCCGAAACUGCAUUUGAUACUGCCUUGCUUGAGGACUGGAGAGGAGACUGGAAUUCACGGUGUAGCAGUGAAAUGCGUAGAUAUCGUGAGGAAGACCAGUGGCGAAGGCGGGUCUCUGGACAGUUCCUGACACUGAGGCACGAAGGCCAGGGGAGCAAACGGG